rnacentral:tRNA from 1 species
GGGCAGGCUGCGAAGUUGGAGAGUCGCCUUUGACUGUAAAUCAAAUCCCUUCGGGGUGAGUGUGUUCGAAUCACACCCUGCCCA